UUGUUAAUCUGUCUUUUGUUACAGGGAAGCCCAGCUAAGAACUCACGAGGGGUGGAGGAGAAAAUUACCUUCCCUCCCCUGCUUGGGUGCAACAGAUUCUUACAGGAAGAUCUGGCUCUAAAUAAGAAGUCCCUCUGCUGACCCACUUGAGAAAAAUGGACCCAGAGAAACAAGAGUUAAACAAGCCAUCCUUGAGCUGAUAUCCUGGCUAGAAAACCUGGAAUGACCCAGCAUACCGAAUAUCUUUG